CUGAUCAGCUGUAUGGCGGCACAAGCCUGGAGGGAGGGGCUGGCCCCCAGCACUCACCCUGCGAACUGCUCCAAUCGUGCUUCUCCAGGACGGCUCUGAUCCUGCAAGCUACUCGGUGUGAGGAGAUCCACACACCUAUGCAGAGCAGCUUGCAGGAUCAAACAUCCCUUUCGAUAGAGGAGGCUGAAGGACAGCUGCAGAAGAGGAAGCCAAAAGUGCAUUAGAUGUCAGACUACAUUGAAGACAAACUCUGUCAUUUGUCUGAAUGAGUUCAAACUCUCUCUUCUCAUUGCCAUGGGGGUCAGUUUCAGAAACGAAAGCAACUUUGAUUCAAAGCACCAAGACGCUCACAAGAAAAUGAAACUUUUCUCCCAACAUCCAGUCAAUUGGUGCAAUGGAAAAGCUGUAAAAUGUUAAGAGUUAAAAGUAACCAACGAGUUGUGGACUAAAGAAAGAGACAGGCUGACAGAGACUGAAAUGGCUUUUUGAUUGUAUAGCACUAAAUAAAGCGAACCCAGUAAAUUUUCCUCCUGAAGAAACCAGAAACAUGUCUGUUAUAGCUCAUUUCCCUCCCUGUAUUUCUUGGCUGCAAAGUAAGGGUUUGAUCCAAGAAUUACCAGUGACUUCAUUAGGAGAAGGAUCAGGUCCCAGAUGUUGUCCAUACUCUUGUAGUAGAGGGAAAAACCAAACAAAACAAAGGUCCUGAAAUUCUAUAUCUGAAAUAAACCACAUACUUAGUUAUAAAAUCAUAGUCAUUCAAUCACAGAAUUUUCCUUUUUGGUUUUGUUUUCUAAGCCAUAUUUAAAUGAGUGCCACGUUGCUAUCCCUGCAGACUGAAGAUCUCUCUGUAUUCAUGAACCCAUUAAGCAACAGCAGCAGGCCAAGCCUAGAGAUGUGAAGGCAGCUCAUCUUCCAGGCCUGUCUGCUGAGAUUGCCACAAAAAGAUCACUUUCAGUGUGGCCAACCCCAGACAUUUGCAGGUCAUCAGUCAACGCCCCCAAUAUCAGCUAUGGCUUUAAAACUGAUAAAUUUCAAUAAUAAUAUAAUAAAAAGAACCCAUUUAUUAUUA